rnacentral:rRNA from 1 species
CUACGGGGGGCUCCAGUGGGGGAUAUUGCACAAUGGGGGAAACCCUGAUGCAGCAACGCCGCGUGAAGGAAGACGGUUUUCGGAUUGUAAACUUCUAUCAGCAGGGAAGAAAUUGACGGUACCUGACUAAGAAGCCCCGGCUAACUACGUGCCAGCAGCCGCGGUAAUACGUAGGGGGCAAGCGUUAUCCGGAUUUACUGGGUGUAAAGGGUACGUAGGCGGUUAUUUAAGUCAGAUGUGAAAGCCCGAGGCUCAACCUCGGGACUGCAUUUGAAACUGGAUAACUAGAGUACAGGAGAGGAAAGUGGAAUUCCUAGUGUAGCGGUGAAAUGCGUAGAUAUUAGGAAGAACACCAGUGGCGAAGGCGGCUUUCUGGACUGUAACUGACGCUGAGGUACGAAAGCGUGGGGAGCGAACAGGAUUAGAUACCCUGGUAGUC